rnacentral:rRNA from 1 species
UUUGAGGNNUCANCCGGUGAGCAUGGUUUGAGCUUGGUCAAAUUGGUUAAAUGCCNGGGUCUGUGUAGCAGCAGGUCCGUGCCUUCGGGUUCGGAUGCGCGGUGCACUUAACAGGUGUUGCGCGCUCUGGUAAUUUUGGACCGGCUUGCCGGUGCACUUCCUCUUAGUGUUCACCACGACCGGCACUGCUGUUUGGGUGUCGCGGUUAAACCGUUCUUGUAUAGCCCCUCGGGACUUUGCUUGAUCGGGAUGGCAGGUAGCUCGUUAGUUGUCCGCGGUUCUCCGUGGUCGCUUUCGGGUGUAAUAGCUUUCCGCGAUGGUACUAUGCAGUGUGUCGGAGACGGCGGCUUAUGGUGUGUGCGUGCGUGCCUGUUCGGUCGGCAGUUCCGGGUUCGGUUGCUUUGUUGCUUGUUAAAGCAGGCCUGGUGAUAUCCCGGUUCUGUUGGGUCGGCGGUUGCGUGCGUGGCACUUCCCAGGGCCCAUAGUCUGUGGUGUAGUGGUAGAUUAUCCACCUGACCCGUCUUGAAACACGGACCAAGGAGAGUAACAUGUGCGCGAGUCAUUGGGCGUAACGAAACCCAAAGGCGCAGUGAAAGUAAAUGUCUGGCUUGUCUGGACUGAGGUGAGAUCCUGUCGUUUCCCACGCGUGGUACCACCAAGCAUCGAGCGGCAGGCGCAUCACCGGCCCGUCCCAUGGCGUAGUCACAUAGUCUUCGGACCAGUGCGGCACCGGGGCGGAGCAUGAGCGUACAUGUUGAGACCCGAAAGAUGGUGAACUAUGCUUGCGCAGGUUGAAGCCAGAGGAAACUCUGGUGGAGGACCGCAGCGAUUCUGACGUGCAAAUCGAUCGUCAAACGUGAGUAUAGGGGC